rnacentral:misc_RNA from 1 species
AUCAUCAAUCAGAUCAGACAGGAAUCUGGGGCACUUAUCAAAGUUGAUAGUUCAACAGUUGAAGGAGAUGAUUGCUUGAUAACUAUUUCAGCCAAGGAGUUCUUUGAUGACCAAUAUUCUCCAACUAUAGAAGCAGCAUUGCGUUUGCAACCGAGAUGCAGUGAGAAAAUUGAAAGAGAUUCAGGCCUCAUUUCAUUCACUACACGCCUACUGGUGCCCACCUCAAGAAUUGGUUGUCUCCUUGGUAAAGGUGGAACAAUUGUAAAUGAGAUGAGGAAACUUACCAAGGCUAAUAUUCGCAUACUUGGCAAGGACAACCUUCCCAAGGUGGCAUCUGAAGAUGAAGAAAUGGUGCAGAUAUCUGGAGACAUUGAUGUUGCUAAAGAUGCUCUCAUACAUGUAAGUCGACGGUUAAGAGCAAAUGUUUUUGAUAGGGAAGGUCCUGUGUCUGCAUUUCUGCCUGUUCUCCCAUACUUUCCUGUCUCAGCCGAUAGUUCAGAUGGCUUAAAUUAUGAUAGCAGAGAUAGUAAAAGACCUGGACGUGGGCAUUCUUAUUCUGGUGGCUAUGGCUCUAGUGACUACGCUGCUGGUGAUAGUUAUGGUGCUUAUGGUAGUUCCCAGAUUGGUGGUAGUGGAGGUGCUUAUGGAGCUUAUGGAAACUAUUUGUCAGGACGAUCUAGUACCGCUGGGUUAUCUGGCCAGACCCCUGGUUCUGGACGCAAAAACAAUUACUAGAUUUUGAUGAUGGCUAUGUGCAGCUGAGAUCCAUGAAGCCCGAUGCCAGCCUACUACUGCCUCUUUUGAUGAAGCCUCCUGCCCAAAACUGGACGACCAGAUGUACCAGGGUUUGACAUAUUCAUGGUCCACCUUGACGAUCUCACCUAAAAGGACCAAAUCUAUUUGAAGAUCCUGAUUUUGACUAUUGAAAUUUGUCAUGUCCCUGACACAAAUUACCAAGGCUCUACAUAUUGUGCUCCUAAAAACCUUUUUAGCUCGCAUUCCUUUGUUGCUCUGUUUUUUAGUGGAACAUAUCGUCAAUAGUACAAAACCAAGUUGCUUCCGUCCUUUGACAGUUGUACUAAUAGUGUCUGUUUUAUCUACAAGUCUCCAUUAUAUUAAGUUUAAAUUUGGAAUUUAUAGCGGAUUUUAUCGCUUGAAAAUUUGGCUAGUUAUAAUGAAAUGCUGCAGAACUCUAAUGUUGUCUG